GUAGGGUGCGAGCGUUGUCCGGAAUUAUUGGGCGUAAAGAGCUCGUAGGCGGUUUGUUGCGUCGGUCGUGAAAACCUGGGGCUUAACCCUGGGCCUGCGAUCGAUACGGGCAGACUUGAGUUCGGUAGGGGAGACUGGAAUUCCUGGUGUAGCGGUGAAAUGCGCAGAUAUCAGGAGGAACACCGGUGGCGAAGGCGGGUCUCUGGGCCGAUACUGACGCUGAGGAGCGAAAGCGUGGGGAGCGAACAGGAUUAGAUACCCUGGUAGUCCACGCCGUAAACGGUGGGUGCUAGGUGUGGGGAACAUCCACGUUCUCCGUGCCGUAGCUAACGCAUUAAGCACCCCGCCCGGGGAGUACGGCCGCAAGGCUA
rnacentral:rRNA from 1 species